rnacentral:miRNA from 1 species
AGGCUAAUCCUGCAAGGUAUGUUUGACUUAAUAAAGGUGUAAAAAUACACCCAUUUAUUAUUUUAGGUGUAUUUUUACACCUUUAUUAAGUCAAACAUACCUUGCAGGACUAGCCU